rnacentral:rRNA from 1 species
CCUACGGGAGGCAGCAGUGGGGAAUAUUGGGCAAUGGGCGCAAGCCUGACCCAGCAACGCCGCGUGAAGGAAGAAGGCUUUCGGGUGGUAAACUUCUUUUGUCAGGGACGAAGCAAGUGACGGUGCCUGACGAAUAAGCCACGGCUAACUACGUGCCAGCAGCCGCGGUAAUACGUAGGUGGCAAGCGUUAUCCGGAUUUACUGGGUGUAAAGGGCGUGUAGGCGGGACUGCAAGUCAGCUGUGAAAACCACGGGCUCAACCUGUGGCCUGCAUUUGAAACUGUAGUUCUUGAGUACUGGUGAGGCAGACGGAAUGCGUGGUGUAGCGGUGAAAUGCGUAGAUAUUAGGCGGAACACCAGUGGCGAAGGCGGUCGGCUGGACAGCAACUGACGCUGAGGCGCGAAAGCGUGGGGAGCGAACAGGAUUAGAUACCCCUGUAGUC